CCCCGCCCGCAUUCCUUUCACUUUAACUGCGCAUCCGUGAACUGUUUACCUCCUUUCCCCCCAAAAAGAGAGGUGGAAGAAAAACAUUAUUUUGAGCACUGUAAUCAAAGACCUGUACGAUCUUUUUAAAUCCUCUCAACUUCAUUGCAGUUCCAUGGUGGAGAUUAUUCCCACCUUACAGAUAAAGCAACUGAGGAUCAGAAGUAAUAAGUAACUCAUUCAAGGGUGAGUGGAGUUUGAAUACUGGGAAAGCAGAUUUCUCUCACUUCAAAUUAAUACUACUUUACCUUAUUCAACGUAUUUAACACCCAAAACGUGUGGGAUACAACCAGCAUCAAAGAUUUUCAGAAAAAAAGCCUGGCCACUUUUUGGGAAUUGAACACCUGUAGUAGUGUCCUCUCCUUCAUGUACCUCACAGUGUUUCAAUGCAGUUCACUUGCUGCGCCAGCUGGCCCGUACCACACAAGGGACUCUCUCGGGUUGUCUGCUGUGCUAUCAUCUUUCUCAUGAGCACCUGCUGGGGUCCACGGAAAAGAGCCUGGGAGAUGUGGAAAGUCUUCCAGGACUGAUUUGAAAAUAGCUGAAAUAUAUCCUGAAGAAUUUUCAACUUUUGCAAAAUUCA